rnacentral:rRNA from 1 species
GUUAAGCGACUAAGCGUACACGGUGGAUGCCCUGGCAGUCAGAGGCGAUGAAGGACGUGCUAAUCUGCGAUAAGCGUCGGUAAGGUGAUAUGAACCGUUAUAACCGGCGAUUUCCGAAUGGGGAAACCCAGUGUGUUUCGACACACUAUCAUUAACUGAAUCCAUAGGUUAAUGAGGCGAACCGGGGGAACUGAAACAUCUAAGUACCCCGAGGAAAAGAAAUCAACCGAGAUUCCCCCAGUAGCGGCGAGCGAACGGGGAGCAGCCCAGAGCCUGAAUCAGUGUGUGUGUUAGUGGAAGCGUCUGGAAAGGCGCGCGAUACAGGGUGACAGCCCCGUACACAAAAAUGCACAUGCUGUGAGCUCGAUGAGUAGGGCGGGACACGUGGUAUCCUGUCUGAAUAUGGGGGGACCAUCCUCCAAGGCUAAAUACUCCUGACUGACCGAUAGUGAACCAGUACCGUGAGGGAAAGGCGAAAAGAACCCCGGCGAGGGGAGUGAAAAAGAACCUGAAACCGUGUACGUACAAGCAGUGGGAGCACGCUUCGGCGUGUGACUGCGUACCUUUUGUAUAAUGGGUCAGCGACUUAUAUUCUGUAGCAAGGUUAACCGAAUAGGGGAGCCGAAGGGAAACCGAGUCUUAACUGGGCGUUAAGUUGCAGGGUAUAGACCCGAAACCCGGUGAUCUAGCCAUGGGCAGGUUGAAGGUUGGGUAACACUAACUGGAGGACCGAACCGACUAAUGUUGAAAAAUUAGCGGAUGACUUGUGGCUGGGGGUGAAAGGCCAAUCAAACCGGGAGAUAGCUGGUUCUCCCCGAAAGCUAUUUAGGUAGCGCCUCGUGAAUUCAUCUCCGGGGGUAGAGCACUGUUUCGGCAAGGGGGUCAUCCCGACUUACCAACCCGAUGCAAACUGCGAAUACCGGAGAAUGUUAUCACGGGAGACACACGGCGGGUGCUAACGUCCGUCGUGAAGAGGGAAACAACCCAGACCGCCAGCUAAGGUCCCAAAGUCAUGGUUAAGUGGGAAACGAUGUGGGAAGGCCCAGACAGCCAGGAUGUUGGCUUAGAAGCAGCCAUCAUUUAAAGAAAGCGUAAUAGCUCACUGGUCGAGUCGGCCUGCGCGGAAGAUGUAACGGGGCUAAACCAUGCACCGAAGCUGCGGCAGCGACACUAUGUGUUGUUGGGUAGGGGAGCGUUCUGUAAGCCUGUGAAGGUGUACUGUGAGG